AUUCCCCGGUGAAGGGAAGGGGGGCGAAUCUUCGCAUCUGAUGCCCAGCAUCCAGGUUUCGGUAUUUACAUAAUCCGAGUGUUUCCAUAGUCACACCGGAAGCGGCGAUUUAAAAACCAGAUCGCUUUAUGUAACGCCGCGAUGGAUGCGCAGCCCCCGCGCGCUCCCCCCGCCGCCCCGCACGCUCGACAACGCCGAAAGCGCGGGGGUCCGCGGCCGAGGGGCAGCAACGAGUCCAAUGCGGGGGGAUGCAGGGUAGGCCCGGCGGAGGCCGGUGACGCUGCCCCGGGGAAGCUGCGGCGGGCGCGGAGACGGGGCUGGAUGCGGCGGGGACCGGCCGCGCACAAGGAGAGGAAUGUUUGUUUCAAAGCUACAACACUGAAGCUCAGAAUCUCAAAAUGACACAUGGGUCUGGUUUGGAAAAGGGCAUGAGAUGAAAUGCCUUUGCUGAUUCUCCAGGUCCUUUUUCAUACUGUUUCUCUGAAUGAAAUACAAACUCAGCAGAACCUCAGUGUUUAAUGUUGUAUCUUUCAAAGCCCUUUCCAAUAAAUAGGAAUAAGAGUGAUGGACAGGAGAAUAGAGGAACAGUGAGUUCAAAGAUUCUAUUUUAAUACAAUUAUUUAGAAAGACACUUGAAGUCCUUGUCAGAUGUAUGUCUCUUGCAGGUGCUUCUUUUUUUUUAGAGAAAUCUGAAUUUAGGGAACAGGUUAAGACCUAGUGCAGGAGUACUCCCUCAUGAUGUUACAGUUCAACCAUAAUUUUGCACAGAAACAAGAAGAAAUAGUGAACAACCCAAGUUGGUUAUGUACAUGUACAUAAACAUUUGUCAUAGCUUAUGAGCAGCAGUGCAAAAUAUUUUUAAGUCUUUAAUUCCACAGGAUAGAGACUUAAAUGUUUUUCUGAGAUGUGGAGGAAGUUCUAGUUACGGUUUUUGAGAGUCAUCAUAUCUCCCCCCAAAAAAGUGAUAAAUCACAGUUGGUUUGCUCUUAGCCUCAAGACCUGCCAAAUUUUAACUUAUGCUGGACUUUGACUGAAAUGGAUCCUACACAGCAGUACUGUCACCCAAAAAAGAGAAGGAUUGUGGCCAAAAUUCUGUGGAGUCUGUGAUAAAACAGCAGAGGCUUUUAUGGAAAGACUAAGUCAAACUCAUUCUUCUACUGAGGUGUUUUAAUGCCCCGUAGAUAAAAAUCUCACCCAAAGUUGUUUAUAACAAGAGGACUGUCUUUAUUUCCUGAGAAGGGAGUGAGUUCAAAUCUAUGUGAUACAGGGAAUGCCUCUGAAGACUUCAAAUCCUUAAGAUUAUUUUUCUUGAAUGUUUUCACUACAUCUUUUUUUAAAAUAAUGCCUCGUACAUGAAAAGCAUCAAGUGACCUUGUUGGUGUCGAUUUUCGUUCCCUUUGUUGUGCUUAAGGAAGUGAAGGAUCUUGCAAAUCAGAAAGGUGUGAAGAACAAAGCAAAAAUGUUAAAGACAAUCUGCUGUGAUUUUCCUACUUGUAAAUAAGGUGGAAAAUGUCAAAACAAUACAAACUAACGAUGCUUUUGAUCUCUAGUGGAACUAGCGUGGAUUCAUCUCCUAGGUGACCAUCCAUGUGCCUGUUAAUAGUAAAAGUAUCCUUGUCGAGCAUUAUUUGUAUUGUUAAAAUCCUAUUUUUCUUAACUACAAAUUGGUAGCAACAGGUUUGUUUCUUACACAUCCCUUAAGUCUCUUGAUGCACAAAUUUGAUGUGGCACAAGCAGUGUUUUACCUCACCUUUUCAGAAAUCACCUUCAGAACUCUGCCAAUUAUUCAUGAGGGCGUUCUGCUCUCCGCCUCACUUUUCCCUCUGUAAAACACAGAAAAAAAUGAAUUAUGGUUUCAAGGGUGUAUGUGAACCUGGUAAUAAAAAGUCUUUCAACACCGGCA